rnacentral:misc_RNA from 1 species
GCAAAUAUCAAGGAAAGGAUUUCACAUAAAAAAUUGUUCAAAAUCACGAACUUUUCUGUGAUAUACCCAACACAGUCAAGGGUAAUAUCGAAUCACUUAAAGAAGAAAACUUGCACUUUUGAACUGUACGUUUGAUCGCGAAGCUUCCUAUCUUCGAAGAAAUCGUCGAUAGGAAAAUGGAUAGCGGCGACUUGUCACGUACGCGGACGAUUUGGAAGUGAUCGGUCUGCGAGGCCAAUCGAGGGCCACGAUCAUUGGACCUUUCCAUCCUUGCAGCAGGCGUCGAGGAGUACAAUAACCCCAGCUUCCCGCAACAGCCGAGCUGGCCAUUGGCGUCGAAUUUCUCCGUACCGAUAAGAAACGCAGGUUUCUGUCUUCGAUCAAAUGCUAUUAAUCGAUUCCGAUGUGAGAAAUUAUGUAUAUAGUUAUGUAUAUUGCUGCCAGGCGAAUGAAACUUUUUGAAAGUGUAUGAAAGUAAUGUAGCCGAAU